UGAAUUAAUAAUUACUGUCACAUUGUUCUGUGUUUCAGUUUAUUCUGCCGUCAGUUGGUGCCAACCAUUGAAUUGAUCCUCUUUGCCAAAGCAAGAAGUGCCCGCCUACCGAAGAAUGUCGGGUUGCCAAGUGGUGCUUUAUGUCACGAGUUGUGCCACUAACCUGCUGGCUAAAACCUGUGUGCGUUGAAAGGAACACUCUUAGGCAUCACGGGUGUCCUAUAGGGAGGCCACUUCUACGAAAAAGAAACCAAAUGUGGGAAAUCGCCUCCUGUUCACCGGGUAUCCCGUGUCCAAAGAACUUUUACUGCAAACAAGAACGAGAGAACCUGUGUUGUCGCUGUGAUACAGACAGACCCUAGGAGGUUUAGAAUCUGUGAACACGGGCUGGACUGACACCGACUGUCCCCACAUCUUCAGUGUUGUGAUGUGGGCUGCGCUAAGAAUUGUAACUUUAGAAAUGAUUGAGGGGCAUCCUCACAACCUCUAAAAAUCUGAUCAUCACAAAUUUCAAAUUAUCUAUUUACUGAUAAGAUUAUUAAUAUAAGAAAGUUUAUUAUAAAAUAUGUGUAAGAGUGCCCCUCACACUUUAAUAUUUUAAGUUAUAUGUAUUAAAGAAAAUCCCGCGACCAACGGAAAAAAAUCCUUUUACCUUUUUCACUUCAAAUAAAAGUUUUGAUUUUUUUUAAAAACUGAUUUUGUCUUCAACGUUUUAGUCUCUUUUCGGCCUGUAUGUUCUCAUACGAAGCAUUUCACACAGGAACUAUCACACAGCAGGAUCAGUUCAUAACGACAAAAUUAUUAAGUGGACAAAUAAAAUAAAAGGUUAAAUUCAUAUGACAUUUGUUACGAAAAGAUAACACUGGACAGUAAUCCUUCUUCAAAGAGGUAAAUUAUAUUUCAUGUGAAAUAAAUUAAUAGAAGGUUGUGCAGUUUUACUUUUGACACUCAUUCUACAAAUUCAGAUUCUCUCAUUGCUAUUUUCUUAAAACAGCUGAUGUUGAUAAAAUGAUGUCAAACUUGUUGAUUCAGUUUACACCUUGACUAUUCUCUACUAGUGAAAUUACGAAAAUUAUGAAAUAUUUCAAGAUUGAUAAAGCCAUUACAAAAAAAACUUACAUCAAAAACUUACUUAAAACUUACAUCACAGGUAUUCUAGAUAGAUAUUUUGCUUUUUAUGAAAUCUUCAGCCAUAGGUGUAUAAUACAAUAGAAAGGUAUUUUUUUUAAAAAUUGUUGAGUGUGAAUAGCUAUCUGCAGACUUUUUUGUGGAGAGAUGGCAAUAUAUUCUUUGCAUACAUAUGAGGUCAACAUUAGUUGUUUAUUUUGUGCACCAUUCACAAAAAACUACAAUAUAAAGCCUGAUUUGUGCUGCUUAACCUAACCAAAAUAAACACCUUUGAUAUUGUUUGUUUGUUAUUGUAGUGGUUUAAUGACUGUCACGUUUGUGAGAAUGCAGGCGGUUGUGACUGGGACUAGCCACUGGCUGCAACAUUGAAAGAGUUAUUUCAGGUCAAGGCUACUAAGUACUGCCUCCACUCGACAAACAGAACGGCCUGGGGUGGGCGGUCAAAGACAGGGAAUGAUAGCAUGCAGCUUAUU
rnacentral:lncRNA from 1 species